UUUACAUUUAGGAGAUGUUAGCUGACACUUUUAUCCAAGAAUUCCCGUUGACACCUAUAUCCAAGACUUAUCUUUACUCUGUCUCUCUCAGGUUCUCCUGAAGCUGGAACAGAAGAUGAAUGUCAGAAACCUCUUCUCGAACCGAGAGAGAACGACUCUGGACUCGAAGUGAAUCUGGAGGACUAGGAAACUGCUUUCUGAACAACCACAAGGAUCAACUACUGUCAAGUGUAUUAAUGGUCCCAUAUUAUACCACCACGUGUCUGUGAAUGGCCAUUCCAAGCUGUUUUAAUAAAUCUGCCUCUUCUGAAAGUUGGCACGUCCACCUAGGUGUAUCUAUCCACCACAUGUGUGCUGGAUAGAUGAGCAUGGUGUUAUAAUAUGUCACCGUUGUGUUUCGAGUUCUCUUGUGCAAUUGGAGCAGAAUUGAAGAUUCUUUUUUAAAUCUUCAAAAACUAGAUGUAGGAAUUGCUUUAAAAAACGAUUUAUGUACGUUUCAAUCUUUAUCUAUAUGUAUUAAUUGGGAAUACGAGUGAAGUAUUUGCCAACAGCUAGCCUUUCUUGAAAACCUCAGGGAAAUGCUCUUUAAGCAAAUUUUUCAUCAGCACCACCAGUCAAAUAAAAACCAUGUUCUUAUUAUACAAACUACAUUACACAUGACCUAACCUCUCUCUCUCUGAAGUACAGUCUAGACAUUGUUACGGUUGUAAAUGACUGUUCCAGCUGGAGACAGCUGAUUUUUAAUAUCUACAUAGGUGUACAGAGUCCCAUUUACAGUCACCAUCACUCCUGUGUUCUAACGGUACAUUGUUUAGCUCAUCGUGUUAAAAGGCUAAUGAUUAAUUGAUGAUAAGAAAACCCUUGUGCAAUUAUAUCAGCACAGCUGCAAACUCUUUUUAAAAGUGCGAGUUUUCAUGGAAAACAAGAAAUUGUCUGAACCGUAGUAUAUAAACUCAUGUACAAGGCAUUCAACUGCUGGAUAUUCGUAGCAUAGUGCUAUACUCUGCUGUUCCCUCCCCCCUCCCCUUCCCAACAUGCCUUAUGCUAUCCGAUCCCUUCCUAGUUUGUGAAGAGAUUUUUGGGCUAAAUCUGCUGUACUCUGUAUUGAUAGGACAUACAAAGGUUGUUAGCAGGCUGUAUAUUUUAAUUUGCACUUUACCUAGUAUAUGAAGUUAUGGAAGCAUGAAUGUAGCACAAUUCAAAUGGAAAUACAAUUUGCAAUUCAAUAAGUCAUUACAUUAUGCAAUUGACAAUUCAUUAUGCAUUUCAAUAAUGUCAUUUGAAAAUACGUUGUUCAAAGUGUAUUUUAAUAUGCAAAGUUGUAAUAUCUGUUACCUUGGCCAAUGUGUCUUUUAAAAUGCCUACUGUUAAAUGUUUGCUUUUUUUUAAAUGUUUUACAUUUCUACACCGAUUUACGAUUUAUUUUUUAUUACCAUGCCUAUCGUUAUUCGGAACGUAAUUUGUGUAAACUGUUUUGCAUUUGUCCAUGUUUGCUUUAGCUGUCUGCCAAAUCUUAAAGACUGAACUUCCGACAAUCUAUUUUAUUUUCUCAUUUUAUUGUAUUAUUGCAUUAGCUUUCUGCUGGAUCUCAAAUGUAUUACACUUUCUAAACCAAAUAGUUUACUUAACUUAAGAUGUAAUAAAAGCAAUUCCGAC
ensembl:lncRNA